rnacentral:lncRNA from 1 species
UUAGGUCCACACUCAAUUUCCUAUCUACUAUAUCUAUGACACAGGCUCUGUAUACCGCUUCUCCCAAUAGUGUCAUACUCCCAGUAGUAGACACAAACAACACAGAAUCAAGUUUAUUAGGUAAUACAUUAAAUUUUGAUGCAAAAAUAGGUGAAACAAAUGAAUGUGAUGCACCAGUAUCAAUCAAAACAUGAGCAAGAUAGUUACAGAUAGUGUACAUACCCUGUACCACGUCCGAGUUAGCUUCUGCAUCCUGCUGGGUGAGAUUGUAAGAUCUACCCUGGAUAGGAGGUCUAUCCUGAUUCUGGUCUUUGAGCACUCUCUCGCAUAAUGUUGGGCACUACCACAUAUGCGACAGGUGUUGUUGAGUGAUAGUAGGGUCGGUUCUCAUGAUCCCUGCCGCAAUGCUGACAGAUCUUACUACGUCCUACCACUAGAGCCUGAGGGGGAGCUUGGAUCACCGGCUUGGGCCUCUUGUUCUAUUGAACAGACGCAGUAGGCUCUGGUCUGUGGGGUAGAGCUGAGGGUUUGAGGUUCUCUACUGCCUGUGAGAGGGUGCAGAAGCUCCUCUCCACUAGCUGUGUCUUGGCCAGAACGGCCAAAUAAGUA